rnacentral:lncRNA from 1 species
ACGUAGUGGAUUACAUGUCAGAGAACAGAUGACACCCGAAGGUGACCAGAUGACACCCGUCGGUGACCAGAUGACACCCGUCGGUGACCACUGUGGGAUGAUCAAUCGCCACAGGCUGAUGCCUCUCUCAUCAGCUAGGUAUACAGAAUACUAUGUGCACACAGGCUAACUAUUCUCCGUUAGCAUGGAGUACUGACAAGUCCCAUAUCAAGGCAUAACAGAUAUUCACAUAAUCAUCAAAGAAGCGUAUAUCAUAUCAAAUAGAAUUUACUCUGACAGAUUGCGAAUGCAAAUUCAAGAAUAAAUGAGUACUCGGAAAAUAAAGCAAUAUAUAUAAAUAUUCAAGAAACUUACUAGUCGUACUCAUUGUAUAAUCAACAUACAUAUUUAUUUAUAUUAUAUGCAUAUUAAAGAUUAUUCCACUCACCCGGAAAAUACUGAACUAA